CAACAGAACUGUAAUUCCCUCCAGGUCCAGAUCACUACUGAGCAUGCAUUGCUCCUUCCCUUCUCCAAGAGAAGACUGCUGAACAAAAACUGCACCUGGAGAAUAUGGAGGGUGACAUCCGUCACAUUCAAGCAGCAACUUGCAGCAGUUUGCUCUAAACCCCAUUUUGUGAGUAAGUGCUGCAGGUGAAGAUCAAAGCACUCUUCAAGUGGGUUCUGGGUCAUGCACAGGCACAAAGCUGAGAGGGGGGAGGUCUUCCCAACAUUUACAGGUAAUGAUGCUUGACUUGCUCUGCAGCGUGCAGAGGAGUCUGGUGAAUGUUAGGGCUGUUUGGCAGAGAGGAAGUGACUGCACCGCUGACACUGUCCAGGGCUUCAUCAGCUUUGGAAGAGCCCCAUGGGACUAUUUCACUCAGAAUUUCACACAAUGAGAAGGAAAGAAGAUAGAGACAUCAGAAUUAAGGAUUGAAUGUUUAAGGGAUUCUGUUCAGCAACUGGGCUUAUUUUAAGCCUUAGUGCUGACAUUGUCAGAGCUAAAAAAAAAAAAAAAAAGUAUUAAAAAAAUCAGCUGCUGAAAGUUCUUUAAGGCUCAGAAUUGGGAUAAAUGACAUUUCUGCUAUGUUGCAAACUGUGUCAGAAAAGGAGGACGUUGCCUUGCUUUGAGUGUAUUCUAAACUAAAAGCCAUAAAGAAACUAUUGUGCUUGGG
rnacentral:lncRNA from 1 species